rfam:Ictidomys tridecemlineatus contig050061, whole genome shotgun sequence.
UGGGUUAUGGCUAAGUGGUACAGCACUUGCCUAGCAUGUGUGAGGCACUGAGUUCAAUUCUCAGCUCCCCAU